UAGAGUUUGAUUYUGGCUCAGGACGAACGCGGCGGCGUGCUUAACACAUGCAAGUCGAGCGGUAAGGCCCUUUCGGGGGUACACGAGCGGCGAACGGGUGAGUAACACGUGGGUGACCUGCCCUUAGCUCUGGGAUAAGCCUGGGAAACUGGGUCUAAUACCGGAUAUGACUUCACGGUGCAUGCCGUGGGGUGGAAAGCCUUGUGCGGCUAGGGAUGGGCCCGCGGCCUAUCAGCUUGUUGGUGGGGUGAUGGCCUACCAAGGCGACGACGGGUAGCCGGCCUGAGAGGGCGACCGGCCACACUGGGACUGAGACACGGCCCAGACUCCUACGGGAGGCAGCAGUGGGGAAUCUUGCGCAAUGGGCGAAAGCCUGACGCAGCGACGCCGCGCGAGGGAUGACGGCCUUCGGGUUGUAAACCUCUUUCAGCUCCGACGAAGCGAGAGUGACGGUAGGAGCAGAAGAAGCACCGGCCAACAACGUGCCAGCAGCCGCGGUAAUACGUAGGGUGCAAGCGUUGUCCGGAAUCAUUGGGCGUAAAGAGCUCGUAGGCGGUCUGUCACGUCGGCUGUGAAAACUCGGGGCUCAACUCCGAGCGUGCAGUCGAUACGGGCAGACUAGAGUUCGGCAGGGGAGACUGGAAUUCCUGGUGUAGCGGUGAAAUGCGCAGAUAUCAGGAGGAACACCGGUGGCGAAGGCGGGUCUCCGGGCCGAUACUGACGCUGAGGAGCGAAAGCGUGGGGAGCGAACAGGAUUAGAUACCCUGGUAGUCCACGCCGUAAACGUUGGGCGCUAGGUGUGGGAUCCCUUCCACGGGUUCCGUGCCGCAGCUAACGCAUUAAGCGCCCCGCCUGGGGAGUACGGCCGCAAGGCUAAAACUCAAAUGAAUUGACGGGG
rnacentral:rRNA from 1 species